AUGGUUUUGGUUACUGUAGCUUUGUAAUAUAGUUUGAACUCAGAAAGUGUGAAGUCUCCAGGUUUCCUCUUCCUCAGGAUUGCUUUGGCUAUUUGGUGUCUUUUGUGGUUCCAUAGAAUUUUAGGAUUAUUUUUUAUAUUCCUGUGAAAAGUGCUACUGGAAUUUUGGCAGGGAUUGCAUUGAACCUGAGGAUCGGUUUAGAUAGUAUAGACAUUUCAAUGAAAUUCAUUCUUCCUCUGCUGAGUACAGGGUGUCUUAUCUGUGUCCUCUUAGAUUUCUUUCAUCACUGUUUUUCAGUUUUCAGUGCAGAGAUCUUUCACCCCCUUGGUUAAAUUUGCUUGUAAGCAUUUUACUGUUUUUGAUGAAAUUGUAAAUGGGAUUGUUUUAUUUGCUUUUCAGACAGUUUGUAGUUAGCAUAUAGGAAAGUAGUUAUUUCUAUGUCGAUUUUGUAUCCUGCAACUUUACUGAAUAUGUUGAUUAGUUUUAACUAAUUAUGCACCACCAUUAUAUUAGAGAAUUUGAUUUUGAUUAUAUUGUUACUAUUAUCAGUGAUUUUUGCAUGUUCUUACACUUUUACAAUGUUAAUUAGCAUCCUUUUAUUUCCACUUGAAAAAUGUCCUUUGGCAUAUCUUGUAAGGCAGGUCUAAUGGUGAUGAACUCCAUCAGUUUUUGUUUGGGAAAAUCUUUGUCUCUCCUUCAUUUGUGAAGACAGCUUUUCCAGGUAUAAGUAUUCUUGGUUGACAUAUUUUUUUUCUUUCCAUCUUUUGGAUAUGACAUUCCACCUUCUGGCCUGCAAAGUUUCUGUUGAGAAAUCCACUGACCAUCUUAUGGGGCUCCCUUGUAUGUAACUUGUUUUUUCUCUUUUGCCGCUUUCAAAAUUCUUUGUCUUUCUUUGAUGUUUGACAAUUUAAUUAUAAUGUGGCUCGAUGUAGCUCUCUUCAGAUACAACCUAUUUGGGAUUUCUUAGGCCUCAUGAACCUGGAUGCCCUUUUCUCCCCCCAAGUUCUCAGCCAUUCUUGCUUUAAAGGGACUCUCCUGGGAUUCCCAUAAUGUGUAUACUGUUCCUUUGGGUGGGUGUCCCCUCCCAUAGAUGUUCUUCACUCUUUCAUCUUUGUCUCCUUUUGCUCCUCUGACUAGAUAAUCCAAAUGACUUACUUUGGUUGUUAUUGUUGUUUUCCGAUAGUUUCUAUCUUGUUGAAAUUCUUACUGUGUUCAUUCAUUGUUUUCCUAAUUUUGUUUAACUGUCUGUGUGUUCUCGUACUUUACUGAAGUACUCUGAAUUCUCUGUCAGUUCAUAGAUCUCUGUUUCUUUAGGGUACUGAUUGGAGGUUUAUUUGUUUCUUUUAGUGUUUUCCUGAUUCUUCACAAUCCUUGAUACCUGGCAUUGCUAUCUGUACAUUUAAGCAAGUGGUCUCCUCUUCCAGACGUCACAGGUUUGCAUUGGCAGAAAACCUUCUCGAGUCAGCUGGUAGUGUUUGUGGGAUGGGGGUUUGCUAUAGGGCUUCCUGUUUGGACGAGACCGCUGGCUGUGCUCUGAGGUUGUACCAUUUGCUGCGGGCUGGGUUCUGUGGUCGAGUGGACUGGGCUCCACAUCCAGGCAGCCAUGCCCCGCAGUCAGGUCAGGCCCCUAGCUCCACACCUGCUCUUGGUCAGGUGGGUUCUCAGGCUGCUGGCUGUCUCUUGUGCAGAGGAGGUCACAGGCCAUGCCCUGAGGCUGGGCAGGGUCACAGCUGGGCUUUGUGGCUUGGUCGUGCCGUGGACGAGGCUCUGGGGUUGCCCAGGGUCACUGUCUAGGCCCCCUGGUUAUGCAGAGCCAGGGGCAGCAGUUGUAUAUGGCUGCUGGGUUGACUGACCCUCUCCCAAGCAGCGCUGCAGCAUAGGUUUCAUUGCUGUCUGAGUUCUCCACCUGGGCUUUACAGAUGGGCUGGAGGCUGUGCCUAGUAGCUGGGCAGGGCUGAGAAUUUUCUUCUGUGUCUGGAUGAGGCAGUAAUAUGGCUCACUGGCUGGGGACCCAAAUCAGGCAAUACUUCCAAUGGGAACUCUUGGGCCAGACGUGGCCGCCAGCUCGGCUCUGCAGAUGGACGCUGCUGCUGGCUGGGGUCUUUGCUCGGGCGCCGCUGAGGCCUGGUCUGCCAGGUGGGCGGGGCUGUUGUAAGCCUAGCCACGCUUCUCUGUCUCUGAUGUCAAGGCGCCUGUGAGGCGAUACCCAGGUGGGCCUGUAACACUGCACUAGCUGGACGUCUGCCUUGAGCUCUCUUUUCCCACAGGAGAAACCAGAGACCAGGAUGUGGUGGGGGGCACUUUCAGUGCGGUGCUGUCGGCCUGGGGCCUGCAGGGGGCGAGGCAGUCCUGGGAGAGCCGGUCUUGUUCAGUCAUUGUGUCAGAGGAGUGCCUCAGCCUUGCCCCUGGGUGCUGGGACGUCACAGUGGUGACCUGUCUGUGGAUAGUUGCUAGUUGGUCUUGGAAGGGGAUUUGAGGUUGGGAAAAACCUGUGUCAUUUUGAUGAUCCGUUGCAGCUCUGCCCGGUUACUUGGUGUGGCUCAAGUUAACUUCGGUAUGCAACCAACAACUAUGGACGGUGUGUUCACGUACAUCGUGGUGAAAGGGAGCAGGUGCUUCAUACUGAACAGAGACUGGAAACUAGUUCCUUAUAAAAGUCAAGAAUAAGAUAGUUUCUUCAAAGUUUCAAGUUUGUGCCCAACAAGUAUUUCUUGGAUUAGGAAGCAUGGGUUUGUUUCAAAGCAUGCUGAUCCCAUGAGAAAUGGGAUUGCUAAAGAAUGUAUCUCCCUCUGGCUGGUAUCUUCAGUGUAACUGAAACUGGGAUCACUCUUAAAAGCUUCACAACAUACAGUAUCAAGGAUGUCUGGGGGUGGAAAUUACACCCUGGGCUCAGUUGGGCCUUGAAAUGAUAUUAAGUUCUUCAGGCAACAAAAAAGGAUUUGAUGCCAUGAAAGAAGAGACAAGUGCCUUUUAAAUGGGAAAGGGGAGCUUGAGUAAAAUGAUUCUGGGCUUUGGAACCAAAUGGGAAGAAAAGCCAAAUGCUCCAUGUGCCUGUUAAGCUUCCAUCAAUAGUACCAAGCCGCUCGGUGCCCCCUUGCUCGCGGUAGGGAAGGAGGCCAGCAUUUGCCCAUCAUUCACUCUGGCAAGCUGUGUGCUGAUAGAUGGGUUCCAUAAUUUUAUUUCCACAAGUAAGGUGUGAGGUGAGUGAUGACUACCUCAUUUUAGGAAUGAUGAAACUGUUUGUUAGAGAGAUUCAGCGGCCAUGUCUUCAGAAUUAAGCUAACAGCCCACUUGGGCACAGAGGUGACUAACCUCUUGUUUAUGUUUUUAAAAAAAAGGCAUUGGGAAGCAACACUUCAGUUGGCAAAACUCUGUAAAGGACUGGAUAUUAAAUGUUUCAUCCACUGUAGGCCCAACGGUGCCUGGUGCACCUGCUCACCUCUGCCACUGGAGGAGGAAGCAGCCAUGGGUGACUUGCAAAUGAAGGAGCUUCUGGGUGCAUUAUAAAUUUAAUUUGCCUGAGAAUCUGGCAAUGGACGUCUCCCUCAUAGACAUGAAAUCCACAUGAUUUCCAGUCUGUUUCUAUGGUUUCCUUCUAGUAUUCAGAUACGUUAAUUAGUAUGCAGUUCGUUAUGGAUGUUGGUGCUGUUUUUCUACUUCAUAUGUGAGGUAUUAAUUUCAUUUCGAUUUCAACAGGGUUUAAAAAUAGAGCAGAAUCAUUUUGACUAGCACACAGUCAAGCCUGCGGGUGCUGAAGGAGUCUGUGACAGGAGGCUGGACUUUGAUUGCUUUUUCCUUGCCGGGGAUGAAGAUCUGGCUCUGAGCUUCCGUUCUCCCUUCCAGCAAGUUGUGGAAAGCAUGGAAACCCCAGACCGACUCCUCCUACAAUGCCAGGGCUGUAAUUCACCGCUGCUCACGGGCGAGGUCCUCCCUGCGCUGUCCUGGGCUGGUUGCCUUGCUUUGCUCCUGGGACAGAGGCGCGCUGACAGGGGGAACGUUGGCCGCUGCCGCAGGCCGUCUUCCCACUGGCUUCUCACGAGGUCCCCGUGGAUGGCGUGCUGGACGACACGGCCCUUUCUGCCCAGGGUCCCCACGUUCAGUGAGAACGACCAAAUGACUGAAGUGCCGGAUGUCCUUAUAGAAAAUUCUUGAUGGGAAAAAUGAGGUCAUUUGUAACCUGUUUGUCAGAAUAUCCAGGUAAACAGGAGAAAACUCAGUCUGCCACCCAGAAGUUUGUUUUAUGUAGUCGGGACAGGAGAAAUGCAGGUCCUGAAAUUUUCACUCUUUAUCUGUUUUUCCUGUUAGCUCUUAACCCCAAUGUCCCCCAACCCUCCUCAGCUGGAGGAACUGAGGCCAGCGCUCACCUGGCCAGCAAGUACUGCAGGCACCUGGCCGACAGGGCGCAGCCUGGAGUUCACCUUGGGGCGUGACCAGCUGCUGCGGAAUGGUCCGGGGCAUUGCCUGGAGGCAGUGGGCAGAGUCAGAGGCAGGAUGCCGGCUGCUGGCCUCUGCUGUCUGGCUGUGACCUCCUGGGUCUCUCAACCUCCCCACGCUGCCAGUUCCUCAGCGUGAAGCGCGGGCCCCAAUCUGUCACCUGCUUUGCUGAGCGCAGCCCGGGGCUGAACCCUCAGCCGAGACACACACCCCUCGGGGCUUUCUGCUUCCCCGGAGGACGUGGGCCUCGGCUGUGCCUGCUCCUGCCUUCAGCGUCUCAGCUUUGCGGGGACCACGAGGGUACCCCGAGCCCCAAAGGAUGCCAGCUUAGCCUGAAACUGGAAGUUUCAUCUAUGCAGAAAUUGUGUCACAUCGUUAUUAUGUCCCCAGCACCUGGCAUAGUCGCCCCCCAGGAAUGAGUUGAGGGAACGAGCUCCUGGCCUCUGCUCUGCAGUCUGAUUCCAGGUGCAGUUGCUUUAACGAGGCUAUUUGGAAUAAGACAGGCUCUGUCUCACCCCUGUGACGCUGUGUGGGGCUUGUUAGCCCAGUAAAGGGACACGACGUCCUUGGAGAAACCCCGGUGACCGUGGGGUGGCCAUCCCAACAGCUGUGCUUUUGGGUUGAAUUUCGCAGCCAUGGGCCUGAUCACUGGCUCGCCAUCCUGCUGUGCGCUGAAAUCACCUGAGGAGGAUUUACAGCCAUAGAUGUCGGGCCGCCGGGCAAACCAGUGGGAACAACCUGUGAGGUUUGAGCCUUGGGCUUCCCUGCAGGAAUUCUGCGGCCCAGGGAGCCGAGAACCACUGAUGCAGCGCGAUUGCCAAGCCCCGUGUGUUGGUCGCUCUGUGAGGACGUCAUGGAGAAGCUGGGGUGCUGGGCAGCCGCUAGCUGGCUGUGCAUGUGGACGCUGCCUGCUGUCUCAGAACAGUGCUUCUUAAAUCGGGGCCCCAGGACCGGAAGUCUCAGCGUCACCUGGACACCUGCCGGAAAUGCGGAUCCCCAGUCCAGGCCCAUGAAGUAGGGCCGCAGGGCCUGCACGCAGCACUGUGUCAACAGGCCUUCCCGGGGCUCUGCUGUGGGCGCAAGUUUGAGAUCCUGCCUGGGACAAAGGGCACAUGCUGGCACCUGGGGAAGUCCGGGAGGGGCUGCCCUCCCCCGCCUGCAUCAUGGGGACCCGUUCAUCAUCACACCUGCAUCCCUCCGGACUCUGGAGGUGCCCAGGUGAGCAACCGGACAAGGUCCCCAGCCUCAUGGACCUCAGUCUGCUGCAGAGGGCGGAGGGCGUUUCACAGCGACGGCUGACACACGAUGAACUGAAGCCCUCUGCUGGGCCAGGGUAGCUCGUGGCGGGGCACUUGACCUAAUGUGAGGACGGCCUUCUGCAAGGGAGCGGCAUCUGAGCAGGACCCGAAGCCCUUCAUUAGGCCCUAGACGUGACUGCGUCACCGCUCACUCCACAGCCUUGUAGCCGCCCUGGGGCUUUUCAUCCACCAAGUUCACCUCAUUUGCAGUAAUGACAGCCCGCGGGCCGCGCAGACUGGAUUAGCGCAGGACUCUGCUGUUCUCUCACCCUGGGGCGUCCCAGCUGUCAGUCCCAGCUGUGAAGAGCCGGUGGGGUCCCACUCGCCCUCUUUACAUCAGCAACGACCUGCACCAGCUAACCCCGAUGUGCAGCGCUGGAGUCGGUGCUCUGGAAGCUGAAAGGUGCUGGACAAGAAUGAAAUGUUCAUGUUCUCAGAAGCUGAAGCCGAAGGCCAGAAUUUGUUGAUCUGCCUGGGUGGCUUUCUAGAGCUCGAAUGUCUCUCAGAAGCGGCUAUUCAUCAUUGUUGAAAUGCUGCGUGGCAUUCCAGUCUCCCUAGAGAUUCCACUGGAUCGUGACUGAGUUUGUGCAUCUACUCCUCAUAUUUUCAAAUGCAACUUCAGGUCUCUGCUCUGCGUUUUGUGCUCAAGAGGAGAGGUGCCAUGCGAUUCCUAGAAUCCCUGCAGGAAGUCAGAGUAGCAGAGGCCGCAGUGCUGGGCAGCCGACUGACCAACGAGGUAAAGGAGGAGAAACUACCAGAGAAGAGCUCAGUCUUCCACUGCAGGGAACUUACAUUUCAUGGAAAAGGCGUACAAGAUGGUUCGAUAUACGUGUAUGCUGUGAAAUGAGCACCCGGUAUUGAGAUGCACCCUUUGGUGCUCUUGCCCUCGCCUGCUGCCAGGUGCGGUUACAAGGCUUCAACAAGUAG